UUCUGAAUUCAAACCAAAAUAUAAGGCUGCGGACAUUAGGUCGCAAUUCCAUAGCCGAGUCAGUAUAACAGUUAUAGCAGUCAGCUGGUGGAGUCAUAAAUUUGAAAGAAUGUUGCGAUCGCUGAAAUUUCCUUUGGUAAUUGAUUGCUGUCUCAGUGUUGUUUAUCACAUAUAUUUAUAGAUAAAGAGUGGAACUUUACGAAAAUGCCUAAAGGAUUACAGAAAGGGAUUAUAGCUUUGGUGAUCACGUCAUUUUUGUUUGCAAUUGAAAACAUUGUAUUAACUGUAAAAUAUCUUAAGGAAAAUGAUACCAUUGGUCUGGCUUGUGUUCAGAUUGUAAUUACUUGCUUAUUCAUGGUUUUACUUAUAUUUUUCUUUGCCUAUAUUAUUCACACCCGUAAAACUGGGAGGAAAGCAACAUGUGUUCUUGUAUGCACUGCUUCAAUGUGUAUAUUUUCUGUCUUAAUGUUUGCAUUGGGUAUUACUUUAGAUAGAAUAACAUUUGGAUGAUAUCGUUUUCAUUUGAUUGACACUUGAACAGACACACAUAUAAUCAUGUUCAAGCAUUAAUAAUAUAUAAUAUUAAAGCUUUUGUCUUUUGUCACACGGCGAAUAUUUAAGUAUUGUCUGCGUUAACUAUGUAGCAUCUUUCAUUUAUUUACACUUACCAUCAUGUAUUUUAAUAUUACUUAAAAAGUGUAUCUUUUAAUGUCACAAAGUGAUGUUAUUAUAAUAUACAUUUAUUUCGAUUGAAAUUUUCUUCCACAAAUUGAUCGUGGAGAAAGUGUCGAAGUUUGUUAAACGGGUUAGAUACUACGUUCUCUGUAUGAAUCACCAGACUUUAAAUCAAUAUUUUAUAUUUUAAAAACAAUGUUUACUUUUAAUUAAGAAAAAAAAUAGAAUUGUUACUACACCAAUCUGAUUAAAAUACAAAUCCGACGAGUAGAAAGAUAUUAGCAUUCAAAGCAAGGAUACUAGAUUGUAUUUUAAUCGGAUUGUUAUUACAUCGUAAAAUGUAUAUGUUUGUAAACAAAAAGUAAAAUCACAAAAAUACUGCACUCCGAGGAAAAUUCAAUCGGAAAGUCCCUAAUCACAUGGCAAAAUCAAAUGACAAAACACAUCAAACGAAUGGACAACAACUGUCAUAUUCCUGACUUGGUACAGGCAUUUUCAAAUGUAGAAAAUGGUGGAUUGAACCUGGUUUUAUAGCGCUAAACCUCUCACUUGUACGACAGUCUUAUCAAAUUCCGUUAUAUUUUAGUUUAUAGUAGUUUAAUAUUGACCAGUUUCUUUAAGGAAAAAGUAAAAUAACAAAAAAUACCGAACUCCAAGUAAAAUUCAAAACGUAAAGACUUUACUUAUCAAAUUGCAAAAUCAAAAGCUCAAGCACAUCAAACGAAUGGAAAACAACUGUCAUAUUCCUAAUUUGGUACAGGCAUUUCCUUAUGUAGAUAAAGGUAGGUUAAACCUGGUUUUAUAGCUAGCUAAACCUCUCACUUGCAUGACAGUCGCAUAAAAUUCCAUUAUAUUGACAACAGUGUGUGAACAAAACAAACAGACAUAAUAGGUAAAAAUGUCAAAAAUAGGGAUACAGCAGUCAACAUUGUGCUGUUAUCUUAACCACUACUUUACCAUAGCGCAAUAACACAAUGGCGGGAUGUAUAAGUACCGAGCCAUGCCAAAAAAAUAUAUUACCAAAAACGCACCCACGUUUAUUUUGAUCUAUAAAGAGGUUAACUCCUAACUAUCCUACUGCCUGUCGAUACAUUAUUUUUGGCAUUGCACAAGUCAUGUCUUCUUUCACUGUCCAUGACGUUAAAAUACUAAAUCCCUGGGAUGUGUUUUAGUUGAUUUUAGUCUCUGAUGCAUGAUUUUUUUUUAUUAUUUAUUGUUUUUUGGCUUUUAACUAGCUGUCAGUAACUGCGAGUACUCUCAAAUCGUACUUUCUUGUUUGUUUGACCUGUUGAUACUAAUUGUAAUGCUUUUUUGUUGUUUAAUGUUAUUUAGGGUUAUAUCUGGUCUAUAUACCAGCUUUGAUAAGUGUUUGGUAUUACUAUAAAUUUUCACUUUUUCGUACUUUGAACAUUAAAAUUAUUUUUUUGUAAAAAUAUUUCCUUUCUCUAUUUGACCUGUACACGUAUACCUUACAACAAAAUUAUUUUCAUUUACCUGUGUUUAAAGUAUUUGCAAAUGGCUGAUAUUUUUGUUCUAGCAUAUUGUUUUUUUUUUAAAUUGUUUAACAUUUCACAGCGGUAUAACAUGUUACUUUAAUUAUUCUUCCCUUAGUUUAUUUAUUUUGUAUUUACAUUAUAUCAUAGAUCAAAUUUAUUUGUUCAGUAUAUGUUCACUGGUGUUAAUAUGUAUUUUGAUUGAGUUAAGCCGUUUCAAUUGAUAUUUUAUAGUGUGUCUUUCUAUGUUGUGAUGUUACACUUUUGUUUCAGAUAAGGGUGAAGGUUUGGUACCAUUGAAACGUUUAAACCCGCUGCAAAUGUUUGCACCUGUCCUAAGUCAGGAAUCUGAUGUUCAGUAGUUGUCAUUUGUUGAUGUGGUUCAUAAGUGUUUCUCGUUUCUCGUUUUUUAUAUAGAUUAGACCGUUGGUUUUCCCGUUUGAAUGGUUUACACUAGUAUUUUUUGGGGCCCUUUAUUACUUGCUGUUCGGUGUGAGCCAAGGCUCCGUGUUGAAGACCGUACUUUGACCUAUAAUGGUUUACUUUUAUAAAUUUUGACUUGGAUGGAGAGUUGUCUCAUUGGCACUCAUACCACAUCUUCUUACAUCUAUAAACAGUAAAGGUUGAUAUUCUACAGAAACAUAUAAAAGAACACUUUAACACGUAAUUAAGAUGAUAACAACGUCAGUAACUAGAAUCUAUACAUCAAGAUCAUUAUGUAUCAUUUGUGAAGUUGAUACAGAAUAUUUAUCAACAAGGUCUUGGUGUCUUCCGAUGAACUUUUUUUAGAAAAAGGACGAGACGCUCUUUGACAUAAUCCUGGUUCAUCAACUUUCUGCUCAGGCACUGGUGACGUUUUAUAAAGUCUGAGUAGCAGCUGCAAGCUUUUGAAUACCGAAUGACUUGGGAAAUAUAUAUCCCAUAUGCAGGUGAAGUUCGUAUAUUGCUACUAAGGUUAAAGAAAUUGAUAAUUUCAAAUUAAAAUCGUCUCGUUUGUCAUAGAUUCUGGUACAAAGAUGACUGCUUAUGUCAAAUUCGAGAUAUAAGUCUAAAAAUGAGGCGGAGGAAGCCGUGUCUGUUGUUUCAGGAGGAUAUAUUAAUGGAACCCAAUCAGAAAAAAAUGGAUUGUUUUUUUUUGUUUGUUUUUUUUUUUUAUUCAACAAUAACUAAUUGCACUUUCUGCUGUUAACAAUGUACUUCACUAGUCCAGCAUUCCAGUAAAGAGUCCCUGUUUGUUAAUACCAGAAAUCCAGGGUUGUUUCUGGUAAGCAUCAUUAUAUUAAAUUAACAUUAGUUUUAAUUUAACAGCUAAUUUAUAAAAUUAUCAGCAAUGAAAUUAACAAGUAUAUAUCAAUGGUACUUAUUUGUUUAACAAUUUACUAUAUAUAUCAUCUAGCAAUAAUUGAUUUCUGGGUAUUGUUUCCGGAAAUUUUUCAUAUUUCCUCCGUAAACGGGUGAAUUGUUUUUCUAUCAAACAUCUUCCUGGUUUUGAAACAAAUAUUGUCACACCGGCCAUGACUUAAAAAAUAAAAAAUAAACAGAUGUGAUAUAGCAUAUUCACAGGUAUGUCUGAAUUAAAAAUGUUCUGUAGUAUAAGGAAGAUUAAGAUUAAAUAAAUAUUUCAUUUUUUAAUCUUCUUUUUGUAACGGUAAAUAGUCUCGUUAUCAAUCAUUUGUUUGUCAAUCAUCACAUGUACAUGUACAGUAGCGGUGAAAGGUAAAAUUUAUAUUACUUGAUCAGUUCCAGAUGUGUAAUUCGUAAAAUUUAUGUCUUUUAUUAAUUUAUUCAUCCAUUUAUUUUUGCUAGAUCAUAUACUUCUCAAACAAAGAAAUUAUUUUAACAAUUUGGCAGUUUUAUCUAGAAUACAUUUAUAUUUUGUAUUCUUACAUUUUGCCUGCAGUUUGUAACUAUACAUAAAUUCUGCUUUAAAUACAGCAUACACAUUUAUAGAUUCUGUUUUCUGUUCAGACAUGUAAUUAGCUUUAUAUAUACAAAACAUUAUUAAUGUAAUCAAAUAAUUGAUUUCAUAAUAUUGUUCAUCAUUAAUUUUAUAACCGAAUACUAAAUUCUUCAAUGUUAGAAUAUUAUUAUCAAUAUUCAGUUUUUCAAGAAGAUUUUUUAUUUUACUUAAGAAGUCAUCAAGAAAGUGACAUUUCAGAAACAUAUGAUCAUAAUCCUCAGUGAUAUUGCAAUAAUGACAAUUUGAAGUAUUGCAGAUAUUCCACUGUUUUAAUAAAGUUUUACAAGGUAGAAUAAAGUGUAACAGUUUCCAACGAAACACUUUAUACUUAUUUUCUUUCAAAUAAUGAUGAACAAAUUUUAAUAUAUUACAUGUUGAACUAUGAAUAAACUCAAUGUUUAACACUGUUUUCCAUCGGUUAAAACCAACAGGCAUUUCAAUCUCAUUCUGAAUAAAUAUAUUAUAAAUUUUUUUAGUGUCUAAAUUUUCUAAUUUUUCUAUAUAAUUACAAUUAUUCUAAAUGUAUAAAACAUAAUUUGUUUUUACUUUAGUUUUCUUUGAAUUUUCUUGUUGUAAAAUAUUAGGCCAUUCUUUUGGAAAGGCUUUCUUCAAUUGAGAAAAUUCUGACAUCCAAUUAUAUUUAAUCCUGAGCUUUUGCAAAAUAUGUUUCUCCAAUAUGUUACCAUUUUCAUCUAUAAUGUCGUUUAGAUAGAUGAUAUUGCUAUUUAUCCAGUUUUGAAAUAAAAGACUUUUUUUUUUA